rnacentral:rRNA from 1 species
UGGGGAAUAUUGCGCAAUGGGGGGAACCCUGACGCAGCCAUGCCGCGUGAAUGAAGAAGGCCUUAGGGUUGUAAAGUUCUUUCGGUAUUGAGGAAGGUUGAUGUGUUAAUAGCACAUCAAAUUGACGUUAAAUACAGAAGAAGCACCGGCUAACUCCGUGCCAGCAGCCGCGGUAAUACGGAGGGUGCGAGCGUUAAUCGGAAUAACUGGGCGUAAAGGGCACGCAGGCGGUUAUUUAAGUGAGGUGUGAAAGCCCCGGGCUUAACCUGGGAAUUGCAUUUCAGACUGGGUAACUAGAGUACUUUAGGGAGGGGUAGAAUUCCACGUGUAGCGGUGAAAUGCGUAGAGAUGUGGAGGAAUACCGAAGGCGAAGGCAGCCCCUUGGGAAUGUACUGACGCUCAUGUGCGAAAGCGUGGGGAGCAAACAGGAUUAGAUAUCCUGGUAGUCCACGCUGUAAACGCUGUCGAUUUGGGGGUUGGGGUUUAACUCUGGCGCCCGUAGCUAACGUGAUAAAUCGACCGCCUGGGGAGUACGGCCGCAAGGUUA